rnacentral:rRNA from 1 species
AUUGAACGCUGGCGGCAGGCCUAACACAUGCAAGUCGAGCGAGCGGCGGACGGGUGAGUAAUGUAUGGGGACUGCCCGAUAGAGGGGGAUAACUACUGGAAACGGUGGCUAAUACCGCAUAAUAUCGGAUAACCAAUAUGGGAUUAGCUAGUAGGUGGGGUAAAGGCUCACCUGGGCGACGAGCUCUAGGUGGUCUGAGAGGAGGAUAAGCCAAACUUGGCAUGAUACACGGCCCAGACUCCUACGGAGGCAGCAUGGGUGAAUAUUGCACAAGGGGCGCAAGCCUGAUGCCGCCAUGCCGAGUGUAUGAAUAAGGCCUUAGGGUUGUAAAGUACUUUCAGCGGGGAGGCGUUACCCGCAGAAGAAGCACCGGCUAACUCCGUGCCAGCAGCCGCGGUAAUUC